rnacentral:rRNA from 1 species
ACUCAAAUGAAUUGACGGGGGCCCGCACAAGCGGUGGAGCAUGUGGUUCAAUUCGACGCAACGCGAAGAACCUUACCCAGGCUUGAACAGCGAGGGACAUCCGACGAAAGUCGGCUUCCGCAAGGACUCUCGUAGAGGUGCUGCAUGGCUGUCGUCAGCUCGUGUCGUGAGAUGUUGGGUUAAGUCCCGCAACGAGCGCAACCCUUGCCGCCUGUUGCUAACGGGUUAUGCCGAGCACUCUGGUGGAACUGCCGGUGAUAAACCGGAGGAAGGUGGGGAUGACGUCAAGUCAGCAUGGCCUUUAUGUCUGGGGCAACACACGUGCUACAAUGGCCGGUACAAAGGGUCGCGAUCCCGCGAGGGGGAGCCAAUCCCAAAAAGCCGGUCUCAGUUCGGAUCGUAGGCUGCAACUCGCCUGCGUGAAGUCGGAAUCGCUAGUAACCCCGGAUCAGCACGCCGGGGUGAAUACGUUCCCGGGCCUUGUACACACCGCCCGU